rnacentral:rRNA from 1 species
GAUGAACGCUGGCGGCGUGCUUAACACAUGCAAGUCGAACGGAAAGGCCCAAGCUUGCUUGGGUACUCGAGUGGCGAACGGGUGAGUAACACGUGGGUGAUCUGCCCUGCACCUCGGGAUAAGCCUGGGAAACUGGGUCUAAUACCGGAUAGGACCACAUUUUGGAUGGUGUGGUGGAAAGUUUUUCGGUGUGGGAUGAGCUCGCGGCCUAUCAGCUUGUUGGUGGGGUAAUGGCCUACCAAGGCGUCGACGGGUAGCCGGCCUGAGAGGGUGUACGGCCACAUUGGGACUGAGAUACGGCCCAGACUCCUACGGGAGGCAGCAGUGGGGAAUAUUGCACAAUGGGCGCAAGCCUGAUGCAGCGACGCCGCGUGGGGGAUGACGGCCUUCGGGUUGUAAACUCCUUUCGCUAGGGACGAAGCGUUAUGUGACGGUACCUGGAGAAGAAGCACCGGCUAACUACGUG